rnacentral:rRNA from 1 species
UACGAAGGGGGCUAGCGUUGCUCGGAAUCACUGGGCGUAAAGGGCGCGUAGGCGGCCAUUCAAGUCGGGGGGUGAAAGCCUGUGGCUCAACCACAGAAUUGCCUUCGAUACUGUACGGCUCGAGACCGGAAGAGGUGAGUGGAACUGCGAGUGUAGAGGUGAAAUUCGUAGAUAUUCGCAAGAACACCAGUGGCGAAGGCGGCUCACUGGUCCGGUUCUGACGCUGAGGCGCGAAAGCGUGGGGAGCAAACAGG